rnacentral:rRNA from 1 species
CCGACGGGUGGAGGUAACACGUAUGCAAUCCACCUGUAACAGGGGAGUAACCGGAGAAAUCCGGACUAAUACCCAUAAUAUGGGCGCUCCGCAUGGAGAGUCCAUUAAAGAGAGCAAUCUUGGUUACAGACGAGCAUGCGCUCCAUUAGCCAGUUGGCGGGGUAACGGCCCACCAAGGCGACGAUGGAUAGGGGUUCUGAGAGGAAGGUCCCCCACAUUGGAACUGAGACACGGUCCAA